rnacentral:piRNA from 1 species
CGGAGGAAAAUGCCGGAUCCGGC